AUUUUUUUUUUUUUUUUUGUAAAAAUUUAUCCCCAUUAAUCUCAAAUCCUGGCUUCACCCUGCAUAUAAUACAUUCUCCACCACACCAUAACGGCCAUGAUAACGUGGGGAAAAGUUCUUUAAAUAAAGGAGAACAAACGAUCCAUACAUGAGAAAAAUUCCAGACUCCUAAACACAGGCCAUCUCUACCUGGUAAUAUUUUGUACAGUCACGAUCACAAAUCCACUACCUCCUCCCUUUUUACACCCUUAAAACUUGUACAGUAAAUUUUAUCUCCUCUUGCGAGGGCAUCAGUAUGUUCACCAUCUGAGCCUCGGCUAGCCUGAUCUAGGUAUAUCUUCAAACAAUGUACAGUUUUAAGUACAACUGACAAUUUUAUUUUCGUUAAGCUCCCAUCUAUCCAAAUAAAUAGACAGAGCCAUUACUAGAUAUGAAAAGAAAGAAGAAAGCGAGAGGCGCUCAUACUAUCCUCAGUUAGCUGUACAACUUCUCCUAUGCCAUCUAAGCAGCAGGAUUCAGGGUAAGGACACUAAUCCUCCUCUCUCCAGCUGCAACAAGUUUCUCUACACGCGCAACUAUAUGCUUCCCGUAAGUAUACUUCUUCAGAGCAUUUAAGUGAACCUUUAUUCGAUUAAGGAUUAGUUCAAGUUGCUGGUCAUCACAAGUUUCCAGCACUUUCUGUACAACGUAAUUAGCGAACUGAUCUUUCAUCAUGACCUGCAUGCAAUAAGAAACAGAACUAAACUAAGACCCAAUUCUCAAAGACAACAUUGAAAUCAGAUAAGCACUAAAUCAAAAAAGAAUAGCAAAUUAUGCAAGCUCAACAAAAGAGUUCACCAAAAUGAGAGCCCACUUCAAAAGGACUUUUAUAUGAAAACCUAGCCAUUUGCUGAUUAAAGAAUAAUAAAAGUAUAAAGGAAAAGUAAAAGUUAAGCAACAUAAUCCUUAACAGGGCCUUAAGCCAAGGAACCAAUGGGUGUCUAAGCAUGUCACCGCACUAAAAGUGGUAAAGAAGUCACCAUUAAAACAAUGAUUUAUAGUACAGAUUCAAUCCUUAAGGAUGAAUUCCAAAAGACAUCUCAACAAAACAAGUUUAACAUCAAUGAAUCAUUAGACUAACAAUUUUGUAAAUCCAAGGACUGAAUUCCAACAUGAUUGAUUACAUAUUCUAACAACUAAAGGGGUGUAGAUCUGUGUUAAAGCCAGACAUGUUGCUAAAAGAUUGUCCAAUAACCUGUUUCCACUGCUCAAAUCUUUGACAUCCAACAUAGUAAUGUAAAUGGAGAACAACGCAUUAACUUCUGGACAAUUGCCAGGUACCCUGGGGACAUUUGGCAAGCUAAGAUUACAGAUGAGACUAAAGGAAGAAGACAGAUCAACCGCAUCAGACAGGGCAUGAUAAAAUCCCAAAUGUGAAAAUAUUCUGACAGGUCACAUAAUUGACAAUGCAUUUUGAAGAAAAAUACAAGAAAUUACACUGUUUCCAAUUGUAAUGCCUUCCACCUCCUAACUUGGAGUAAUAAUAGUCUAACUGGGCAAAAACCAAUUGCAUAACAAACUAAUAUACCAAUCUGACACAAAAGAGCUGAGAGCUGUCAAUCUAGAAAACCUAUUUUUGUUGGUAUUUUUAGAUGUGUGGGUGUGUGGGGUGGGGGAAGAUUAGAGAAUGGAUACAGAUAUUCUGAAGAACUCCCAGAUCAGCAAAUGUAUCAUUCAGUUUCCACCAUGAUGUGAAAAUAAAUUAAAGAUAAGAACAUAUAUAAGCAAGAAGCUUCAAUAAUUAUCUGCUUAUUAGUCAUUCAUAAACCUGAAGAGGCUCAUUUUCAUCAGUGGUACCAAGCAUCUCAUUCACCAGGGCCUGGCAUUCUGCAGGAGUACCAAACGUUAAACACUUCUCUAUAACAUUGGAGGCAAACUUCUGCUGGCUCAUUUGAACUAUCUGCCCAGUUAAUUUCUUUAUUAUUGCUGAACGUUCGUGAGGUUUCCCAUGCUCUAGCACAUGCUGUACAACAUAAUUUCCAUACUGGUCUUGUGCCAACAUGCAAACAGAUUGCAAAAUCUCAUGCAUCAUUAUAUGCUGGGUUUUUGUAUUAUGGCAGUGCUCCAGGACUCUCUGUAUGACUCGACAACCAUAUGGAUGAGUGGACAGUGUCACGACUUGAUCAUAAAAUGUUGAAACAAUAAACUGUAUAGCAUCUUCAGGUACACAUUCAAUACACUUCUGGAUGACAUGGUUCCCAUUCUGAUCUCGUACACACCGCAUAAUAUGACCGUCAAGCUCUGUCACCAUUUUUGUCUGCUGGUCCAGCUCAACCACUUCUAUAGCCUUUUGGAUCACUCGACAACCAUACAUUUGAAGGCUAAGUGUCAGGACAUGCCCAGUUAGUUGGUCAGCCAGUUCUCUUAUUUGGGAUGCAGAUCCAUGCUCAAAAAACUGAAGAUAAAAUUUUUUUUCCAUGCAUAAGUCGAGUCUUUUUUUUUGUGUAACCAUGUGUGAUUGUAGAUAGCAGCACAUGAUUUAACAUACAAAAACAUGCUACUACUGUAUGCCCAACAAAAUAGUCACAGGAAAAUUAAGUUUUGAAAUGAGAAAUACCUUUUGAAUCACAUAAUUACCGAAAACAUCUGUCAUUAAUGAAAGAGCUUGCGGCAUAAUUUCAUUGAAAACCAUGUUUUUCUCUUCUGUUGUAGCAGUUUCAAGUUUCUGUUGAAUGAAUCGACUUCCGUACUGAUCGGCACUGAACUCAACAACAUGACCUGUAAUUUCCGAGAGCUCAAAACAUUUAGUUUUACUGCUUUUGAACUCAUCUAGCAAUGAGGAAGGAAAACUUUCAUCCAGGUUACCACCAGAUUCUGAGUGCCAAGAUCCCAUAACACCCCCUGACAGAUUCCUCAUUCCAGUAGUAAAACGCAUGUUUCGUUCACUGUGCCUAACAGGACUGCCAGAUCCAAUAGGAGAAUUUGGAAGAAGGGGACCCCCUAUUGGGCUCCCAGAAUAGGACAUGCCAAGACCAAAUGCUGGAUUACCAUAGUAAUUCUGAUUCAAGCUGCCAGAUUUACCAAGAUAGGGAACACCGUACGGUGAUUUUUGAGGUGAAAGCAAUGUUCCUAAGUAAGCUUUUUGGAGCAGAUCCAGGUAUGAAUUACCAAGGUACUCCCUGUCUAUACAAGGUUCAUUAAGUGCCCCAAGCUGUGCAGCAGCAUACUCAUUUGAUCUCAGGUACUGAAGAUAUAAUGGAUCCAUUAAGGGCAUCUGCAGAGCAUUACCUGCGCUCCGAUUUCCAACUCUACUAAGAUUCUGUAAUUCUGCUGUUGUAGCCAUAAAGUUUGGCCCUAAAGCGCUCAGCGCUCUAGAAUCCAAUCCAGUUCCUCCCACUGCAGAUGCAGCAGCAACAUUUUCAAAUAAAGGUAGCAAGCUCCCACUGCCAAGGUGGCUUCCCAUCAUGGAUGGUGAUGAAGGAUUCACAGAAUACCCACUCAAGCCAUAGCUUGAAAAUGGAGAAUUCAUGUUAUCGGCGCUCUGGAGGUCAGAAGGAGAGCCUCCUCGGCCAUUGAAAGCUGGUGUUGAAGGGCCUUUUAAGGAGUUAGCAUAUGAAUUAGACUUAUUCAAAAAAGACUGUUGCUUUACAUGGUUCUGGUCGCCAUGCAAAUUGUAGAGAUCAUGGUGAUCAUCAAUGUUAUGUUCGCUUUGUGACCGUGAGUGAUUCUCUACAUCAACAGGUGAUAGAUUCAACCCAGACAAAGCAGCCACGAACUCAGCAGACUCAUCCAAGCUUGAUGAGACACCUUUAAAUGAGUUUGGCCCACUCACUUCUCUUUUAUCCAUAGAAUUGACCCUACCCCCUCCAAUGGGUGGAAUGCGAGGACUAGGAGCUCUAGCUACAAGUUGAGGAUCAGGUGUAGAGCUUCGUGACAAGGAAGCACCUAAAGCAGAAGCAUAGCUAUGAUGAGCUGUUGCACCAACAUUUGGGACCACAGGAAUCCCCUGUUUAUUUGAAACAGAUCGCAAAGCUUCAGCAGAUGCUAAAUCAUGAAGCUGAGCAAAUUGGGAUUCAGAAGUUUCUACAUUAUCAUCAUAUGCAUUGCGACUAGCUGGACGUGAGGGAUGCCUUGAGAUGGGAUAUGCAUGAUCCAUAUCAUCCUGAAUGAUUUCUGCAAUGCUCUUUUGCCUGCUUCCUAGGCCCAAACCCGGCAACCCAAUCAGUCCAUCUCCUCCCCACUCCACUCCUCCACCAGUCCCAUUCCCAUUCUCCUCCGUCUUUUCUCCAAAACCUGGCUGCACUGCGAAAAGAGACCUGUUCCCUUCAUUAUCGCCACCUCUACUUCCCUUCCUUCCAUCCCCAACCACAGAAUUAACCCCACCGCCAUGUAAUCUCUGAGUAUACCUCCAAUCCUCCUUUGAUAACAAAGGAGGCGGCAGUCUUGGAUUCAAGUUCACGUUAGAGUAGUAAUAAUUAACAUACGCUGGAUCAGACCUUAUCUCCUCCUCGCUCAAGAACCCGCCUUUGUUGCUCUUCUUGAUACCAGGUAACGCAGUAGCAUCAAACAAGCCCCCAAUCGAGCUUAAAGACCCUUCUACAGUAGGCGGGGCAGACCCGCUCCGAUAAAUAUUGAGCUCCUUCUCUCUGUCACUCGCUGCCUCUUGUUGUAGCCUUUGCUCUCUAAUCAGUUUGCCCAAAUCUUCAUUUUUGAGCAUUGAUCGCAUCGAUAUAUCAGGCAAAAUCUUUGAAUACGUGUCUGUGAUCAUUAGAUAUGUGCGUAAAGAUUGAAACUUCUAACUAAAUUUAAGCUAAAUAUGGCUAAAAUUGAACUGGGGCUUGUUUUUUAGGUUCAAAUAAGUUGUUUUUGCCGAUCAAAACCAACAACCCCUCGAACCCAAAAAAAAAAAAAUUAAAGAAAAAUGAAAAGUCCUUGAUUGUGUGUUAAGGUGUUGAUAUUGUGCUAAAGAGUGUACAUUUGGUAAUAAAUACAGAGAUCAGAUUGACAGUGAAGAGCGUUGCAGAUGAUCAAAUAAGGGUGGCUUUAGCCAUGCUGUUAGAGAGAGACGGAGACAAGAACAAAGACACAGAAAGGGAGGGGAGAGUGAACUGAUGAAAGAGAUGAAUGAUAAGCACGAGAGAUGGCCUGAUCUUGAC
rnacentral:misc_RNA from 1 species